ensembl:lncRNA
CUGCUGUGUUUCCCCCUGUUAAGGUAAUAGACAGAACCUCUGAAUGUGUGAGCCAGCCCUGAUUAAAUAUUUUCCUUUAUAAGUGUUGCCUUGUUCCAGGACCCAGCAGCGAGGACAUUAGCCGAAAUACCCAGCAAAGGGGAGAUAGAACUUGUAGAAACCAUAUCCAGUGGAUCGGCAUGGCCCCUAGUUGAGGGAUGGAACCACCAAAAAUAUUAAUCCAGAAUUCCUUGUGUCAAAAGGAAAUGCAAGGACAAAGAGUGGAGCAGAGACUGAAGAGAAGGCCAUCUAGAGACUGCCCUACUGAGAGAUCCAUCCCAUCUGCAGACACCAAACUCGGACACUAUUGCUGAUGCCAAGAAGCCCUUGCUGACAGGAGCAUGCUAUAGCUGUCACCUGAGAGGCUCAGCCAGAGCCUGACCAAUACAAAUGCAUAUGCAAACAGCCAAGCAUCAGACUGAGUUCUGGGACCUCAAUGGAGGAGUUAGGGGAAGAACUGAAGGAGCUGAUUUGGUUUGCAAUCCCAUAGGAAGAACAACAACGUCCACCAAUCAGAACCCCCAAAGCUCCCAGGGACUAAACCAUCAACCAAAAAGUGCACAUGGAGCAACCCAUGGCUCCAACUGGAUGUGUAGCAGAGGAUUUCCUUAUUGGGCAUUACUGGGAGGGGAGCCCCUUGGUCCUAUGGAGGCUCCAUGACCCAGGGGCUUUAAACCUUUUGAUGAAUUUAUUACAACUGAAGGAGAUCAUGGGAAAACAAUUUGGAAAGGAAGAAGUUAAAGUAUCUUUAUUUGCAGACAAUAUGGUCAAAUACAUAAGUGAUCCUAAAACUUUGACCAGGAAACUCCUGCAACUGAGCUGGGGACUGAACCCAGGGCCUUGUGCUUCCUAGGCAAGCGCUCUACCACUGAGCUAAAUCCCCAACCCUUUAACAUAUUUCUUAAACAGGAAACGCAGAUGUCUGAGAAACACUUAAAAUAAAUGUUAAGUGGGUUUUGUCACAAGGAAAUGCAAAUCUGCUCUACUUUGCAAUAUCAUCUGUACCUGUCAGAAUGGCUAAAACCAAUAAAAUAAAUGACAGGUCAUGCUUCCAUGUAUGUAGAAUAACUGAAGCCCUCAUUUCUUGCUGGAUCAGUGUGGCAGUUCCUCAAGAAGAUGAGAAUUGAUGUAUCUCAAGAUCCAGCUAUAGCACUCUUUCAAUUUAUCCAGAGAAUGCUUCAUUUUACCACAGACUCAUCUGCUCGACCAUAUUUGUUCAUAAUAACCAGAAGUUAGAAAUAACUUAGAUGUCCAUCUAUAGAAGAGUGAAUAAAUGUGAUAUAUAUAUAUAUAUAUAUAUAUAUAUAUAUAUAUAUAUUUGCCUGAGCACAUUUAAGCAAUUCUCUACUGUGUGAUUGUGCUCAGUCAUUAAAAAAAAUCACAUUAAAAAUUUAAGGUAAAUGGAAGGACAUAGAAGAAAGCAUCCUGAAGUAGCACAGAUCCAGAGAGACAGAUAUGGUAUGUAUUCACUUGUAUGUAGAUAUUAGCUGUUAAAUCAAUAGGACCACAGAAUUUACAGAUAGAUUAAGCCAUUAGAAGGACAAAUAGAUCUUGCUAGGGAAGAGAAAUAGAGUUUGGAUAGAUGGGAGAAGGGACUUGUAGGAUGAUGUCAUAGGUGAGGCAGGUACAAGAUAGAAGGAGGCCUGUUAUUGGAUGAGAAGGAAGGAUGGGCGGGAGAAAAGUUUGAAGGAAGAGGAAGAGACUGGAACAGAAAGGAAGAAGAGACAGGAGGGACAGGGAAAGAAGCCAUGGCAGGACAAUGUGGCAGGUGAUGUUAAGAUUCCACGCUGACAACGACUUUAUGAAAUUCAUAGGCAAAUGGAGGGAACUGGAAAAUAUCAUCCUGAGUGAGCUAACCCAAUCACAGAAAAACACACAUGGUAAGCACUCAUUGAUAAGUGGAUAUUAGCCCAAAUGCUUGAAUUACCCUAGAUGCACAGAACACAUGAAACUCAAGAAGGAUGACCAAAAUGCAAAUGCUUCACUCCUUCUUUAAAAGGGGAACAAGAAUACCCUUGGGAGUGAAUAGGGAGGCAAAGUUUAGACCAGAGACUGAAGGAACACCCAUUCAGAGCCUGCCCCACAUGUGGCCCAUACAUAUACAGCCUCCAAACUAGAUAAGAUGGAUGAAGCAAAGAGGUGCAAGCUGACAGGAACUGGAUGUAGAUCUGUCCUGAGAGACACAGCCAG